AAAACCCUGCCCCUAGAGGUGUUGUAGGUGUGGCUGCAGUGCCACGUGUGUGUCAGUAGGUGGCAGAGAGGAGAGUGGCUAUGCCUGUACUCACUGUUCUGACCUUUGAACAUCUGAAUGAUAGGUAGCCUAACAUUC
ensembl:snoRNA small nucleolar RNA SNORA17